rnacentral:rRNA from 1 species
GUCUACGAUCAUGCCACCCUGCACAAGCCCAAUCCCCUCUGAUCGCGGAAGCUAAGCAGGGUCGGGCCUGGUUAGUACUUGGAUGGGAGACCACCUAGGAAGACCAGGUGCUAUAGGCG